CAUGCAUGUCUAAGUAUAAACAAUUUAUAGUGAAACUGCGAAUGGCUCAUUAUAUCAGUUAUAGUUUAUUUGAUAGUCCCCACUACAUGGAUAACCGUAGUAAUUCUAGAGCUAAUACAUGCGCACAGGGGCGACUUCUGGAAGCCCCGUAUUUAUUAGGUACACACCAACCCCUUCGGGGUCCCGGCGAGUCAUGAUAACUAAACGAACCGCACGCUUCGGCGGCGGUGGUUCAUUCAAGUUUCUGCCCUAUCAGCUUUCGAUGGUAGGGUAUUGGCCUACCAUGGCGGUGACGGGUAACGGAGAAUUAGGGUUCGAUUCCGGAGAGGGAGCCUGAGAGAUGGCUACCACAUCCAAGGAAGGCAGCAGGCGCGUAAAUUACCCAAUCCCGACACGGGGAGGUAGUGACAAGAAAUAACAAUGCGGAGCCUUCGGGUUUUGCAAUUGGAAUGAGUACAGUUUAAAUCCCUUAACAAGGAUCAAUUGGAGGGCAAGUCUGGUGCCAGCAGCCGCGGUAAUUCCAGCUCCAAUAGCGUAUAUUAAAGUUGUUGCAGUUAAAAAGCUCGUAGUUGAAUUUCUGCCGCCCGCGGCGUCGUCCGCCGCAAGGCGCGAAGGCACCCGGGCGGCUUC
rnacentral:rRNA from 1 species